rnacentral:rRNA from 1 species
GGCGAACGGGUGAGUAACACGUGGAUAACCUGCCCUCGGCACCGGAAUAGCCCGGGGAAACUCGGAUUAAUGCCGGAUAGCCCCACAUCCCUGCGGGGAACGUGGGAAAAGGUAGCUUCGGCCUCUGGCCGAGGAUGGGUCCGCGGUGGAUUAGCUUGUUGGCGGGGUAAUGGCCCACCAAGGCGACAAUCCAUAGCUGGUCUGAGAGGACGAUCAGCCACACUGGGACUGAGACACGGCCCAGACUCCUACGGGAGGCAGCAGUGGGGAAUCUUGCGCAAUGGGCGAAAGCCUGACGCAGCGACGCCGCGUGCGGGAAGAAGGCCUUAGGGUUGUAAACCGCUUUCAGGAGGGACGAAGCUACUCGGGUGAAUAGCCCAGAGGGUGACGGUACCUCCAGAAGAAGCCCCGGCUAACUACGUGCCAGCAGCCGCGGUAAUACGUAGGGGGCAAGCGUUGUCCGGAUUCAUUGGGCGUAAAGAGCGUGUAGGCGGCCAGGUAGGUCGGUUGUGAAAACUGGAGGCUCAACCUUCAGAGGUCGACCGAAACCAUCUGGCUAGAGUCCGGGAGAGGAGAGUGGAAUUCCUGGUGUAGCGGUGAAAUGCGCAGAUAUCAGGAAGAACACCCGUGGCGAAAGCGGCU